UGCCUGCAUUUCACUCGGAGACCAACAGAAAGUCAGAAAAAUCAAUGUAGUACGUUAUUUGGAUACAAUGAUAUGCCACCCAUAAUUUCUGCAUCUGCUGCUUGAUGCCAAUAGAUCAGCCGAUGUACUGUCUUAAUCAAUAACAAGUCAACACAAAGUCCAUAACUCCGUCUGUUGCUAAAAACCAACCCAACAAGUUUCUCUCAGUCAUACAUAAAAGCAUUUCCAAAGUCUUGAAAGAUAUUUUAUAGAAUAAGUACCUUGGAAACUUUAAAUCACAUGAAGAAGCAGAAAAAGAUGCUUUCUCCUUAACAUUGUGAAGCACUUUGAUGUGCAGAUCUUGUAGCUUAAUGCUCAACAUAUCACAUUAGUCUAAGUCAUGAGUUGAAAACAAGAUUCUUAUAAAAUCUUAUUGCAUGCAAAUUAUGCAGUUAAAAUUUACCAAUUUUAUAGAUAACUAGUUAAUAGAAAUUAUUCAUUGACAAACAAUAGAUAUCUUAUGCAAUGAUAUUCCCUAAAGAAUCAGACUGCCAAAUCCCUUUAGAUAACCUUGGAAAGAGACCAGGAAAACGAUACAGAUCUCACCCUAACCAACCAUUUGAGUGAAGCACUAAGGGUGGCAAGUUUCAAACUGAAUUACAGAGGUUAGCAGCCAGUAGCUCAACCAAAACACAAGUACGUGUGACCGUGUAUUAUCUUGCAAGUGUGUGCAUGGGCAUGCAUGCAAACAGGUAAGUGAAAGACAGGUAAGUAGAGAGAGAGAGAGACAGGUAAGUAGAGAGAGAGAGAGACAGGUAAGUAGAGAGAGAGAAAGACAGGUAAGUAGAGAGAGAGGUCUAAAUCUAAAGCACAAACCUCAUAUGAACUUCAAUAGAUCCAUUAGACUUUUUUGUAAUUGGGGUUGUCCAUAUGGAUAAGAUUCGACACGGAAUGAGAAUACGCACCAAAACGGACAUUCAAGGCUCAAAACGAAUUAGAAAAUACAUUAGAGGAAAGUAAAUGAUUCUCUUUGGGCAUGUUUUGACUUUCUUUUCCAAAAAAAGGGGUACUAUUAAUCACCAUUUAAGGAAAAAAUUGCUUUAAUAAAAAUUUUAUUUUCAUUAUUCAUUGAUAAAGGGUAGAAUCACUUAGAGCAAUUUGGCACGGCCCAUGGAAAAAAGGAAAAGGUAUUUAAGGAUCCCCCUACUCAAUUUUAUUGGAAACACACUCAAGACUGAAGGAUAUGAUACAAGAGACAUUUAAAUGAAGAGUCAAACUUGUGUUCUAGUAAGUCAAAUUCUCACUGAGCAUGCACAUGAUAAAAGAUUAACAAAGAACUACAAUUUUAUUAAACAAUCAGUUGCAUUAAAAUGAGAACAUAGUACGCACAUUUAUUUUAGGGGAUAUUAUCAAUUGACUACUUUAAGAAUUACAAUAUAUCAAACAACUACAAGAAGUAUUUUAGUCUAUCAUUUUACUACUAUAUCUUUACAAAACUUAUGAUUUUACUACAUUUCCGUUAGUACAAAAAAAAUAACAAUUUCACCAUUGGAAAAAAAAUUACACAAAUAGAGGUAUCAAAUAUUAUAUUCAUAGGCUAAUAGGAAUCAUUUGUAGCUACUUUCUAUUUUGAAUUUAUAAUAUUGUAAUACUUUGUGUGUUAUUUUUUAACCAAAAAAUAAUUAAUAUAAAGUGCAAAAUUGAUAUUUUAUCAGUCAGCUAACAGGUCAACUAUCGGUGCUAAUGAAAUGUAGUAAAAUAAUGGGUUUUGUCUGGAUAUAAUAGUAAAAUGAUGGAAUCAUAUUUUUUAUGGACUUUAGAUUUAUUGCAAUUCUUGAAGGAUUCAAACGAUAAUAACCCUUAUUUUAACAAGUUGUAUUGACAGAAAAGAUUCCAACUCCAGAUACAAACUGUCCAAAGUUUGAGUGUCCUGGGUAUGCAGAAACUUACCAAGCAAAUGCACUUGAGAAGAGUUUAAAAUUAUAUUCAAAGUUCAGGCGACAGAAGUCACGAAUAUAC
rnacentral:lncRNA from 1 species